rnacentral:rRNA from 1 species
GACGAGGGGUCCAAGCGUUGUUCGGAAUCAUUGGGCGUAAAGCGGGUGUAGGUGGCUCUAUAAGUCAGAAGUGAAAGCCCUGAGCUUAACUCAGGAAGUGCUUUUGAUACUGCAGAGCUUGAAUGUGGGAGAGGAUCGUGGAAUUCCAGGUGUAGCGGUGAAAUGCGUAGAUAUCUGGAGGAACACCGGUGGCGAAGGCGGCAUCCUGGACCGGCAUUGACGCUAAAGCGCGAAAGCCAGGGGAGCAAACGGG